CCCAUUAGGCUUUUUGCUUACCAGUGGCAGGCGCAAGGUUGUGUCUACCGGUAACAUUUGUCCAGAUUAGCCAUGAGACAAAUGGUAUUAGUGGUAGGCACAAACAAUGCCCGUCACUGGUACUUGAGUUACCAAUGACGGGCAAACAAUAUGUGCAUGUCAUUGGUAUUUUUGUUCCACAACUAUUAUGUCCAAAAAUUAGCCAAUCGUGCAAACCAUGACACCGAUGCUUGAGUUACCAAUGACGGGCAAACAAUAUGUGUUGCUCCCCUUCCCCCCUCUCGGGCCAAUCCCGCAUCCACGUGAAUCUUUGCAAAGCCCGUCUGCGGAACUGCCAUCCGGUCCUCCUAUGUGGCGUUAUCACAUGUGCACCUUUUGUGUUAGCUGGCUUCGCAUUGACAUCACCACGUUCUACAAUGAACCGUUUCACAAAUAGGUUGAUGCAUAAAGGACUUUGAAAUACAUGCCCGUGAAUGGCUUUCCUCCUUGUCCACCAUGUAGCCCAGAGAGUUACUUCAGAGUAACAAAAGCAUCGUGUGGCAUUGAUUCAAUCAUUGCAAAAGAGGCACUAUUUUGCGCUGGGUUCAGUCGAUGCAAUUAAGUGCUCCAUUAAAACCUCACUGACAAGAGCACAUAUGCUCCGAGACAUCGAACACUCGAGCAAGGAAUGCCUCCACGAAUCUUCCAUAUGACACAUAAUCCGCACGGCUUCCUCGCCUAUAGGGCGCCGGUGGUACGCCGGCCCAGUAAGACGUGUCACUUCAUGCUAAUGUCACUCAAUAUCUUUUUGCUUUUAUUUUUUUCAUAUUUUAAAACCUUC
rnacentral:lncRNA from 1 species